GCAUUGGUGGUUCAGUGGUAGAAUUCUUGCCUGCCACGCGGGAGACCCGGGUCCGAUUCCUGGCCAAUGCA
rnacentral:tRNA from 3 species